CAACUUCAAAAUUUGGUUAUGCAGGUGAUUGGGCAAUUCAAUCUUGGAUUCAUUAUAGGCAAGUUGGAUGAGGACCUUUUUAUUGUUGAUCAGCAUGCUGCAGACGAGAAGUAUAAUUUUGAGCGUCUGUCACAGUCAACUAUCUUGAAUCAGCAACCUUUGCUUCGGCCCUUGAAGAUGGAGUUAUCGCCUGAAGAAGAAAUAGUUAUUUCCAUCCACAAUGAUACUUUCAGGUGAUUGAGAAUCCUUAUUGCUCUUGUUUAUGGUGAAUUCUUAUUGGCAUUUCUUUUCAUCAUUUGGUUGUGUUUCUGCCUGAAAGAUCUGCAGUAUGGUUAUGUUCAACUUCUGAGGUUAAGAUGACAUGAUUUCAACCUUUGCAUGCUAUCCUUAACUUUAUCAACCUGUUUGAAAAGUCAAAAGCAUGACUGCACUGAUGCUUAAGCCAAUCA